CCUACGGGAGGCAGCAGUGGGGAAUAUUGGACAAUGGGCGAAAGCCUGAUCCAGCAAUGCCGCGUGUGUGAAGAAGGCCUUCGGGUUGUAAAGCACUUUAAGUUGGGAAGAAAAAGCUCUGGCUAAUAUCUAGAGCCUUGACGGUACCAACAGAAUAAGCACCGGCUAACUCUGUGCCAGCAGCCGCGGUAAUACAGAGGGUGCUAGCGUUAAUCGGAUUUACUGGGCGUAAAGCGUGCGUAGGCGGUUUGAUAAGUCGAUUGUGAAAGCCCCGGGCUUAACCUGGGAAUUGCAGUUGAUACUGUCAGACUAGAAAACGGUAGAGGGAGGCGGAACUCCAGGUGUAGCGGUGAAAUGCGUAGAUAUCUGGAAGAACACCGAUGGCGAAGGCAACCUCCUGGGCCUGUUUUGACGCUGAGGCACGAAAGCGUGGGUAGCAAACAGGAUUAGAUACCCUGGUAGUCCACGCCGUAAACGAUGAGAACUUGACGUUGGUUUGCUUAGCAAAUCGGUGUCGUAGCUAACGCGAUAAGUUCUCCGCCUGGGGAGUACGGCCGCAAGGUUGAAACUCAAAUGAAUUGACGG
rnacentral:rRNA from 1 species